rnacentral:lncRNA from 1 species
AUUUUUGGGAGAGUUUUGGCUUGAUAGAGCUGAGAUUUACAGGUGUGGGGCAAAAUAAAUAUGUGAAAAUUAAUUUUCUUAUUGGCGAGCUUCUUGGCUUACUCUAGGAAGGGAGAUAUGUGGCCUUGAGCUAACCAUGGAAGCAUAAGAAUACUGACCAUGCUUGGAUUUUGAGAAGACUUCCUCGUUUUAUUUAUUUAUUUAUUUUUCAUGACUCUUGUUCUUGAGGCGGUGGUUGGCUUAUGGCCUCAUAUAUAAUUUGGUGUUUUUGGAGAUCAUAUAGUGAGGGAACUCUGAUGGAGAUGAGUCAUAGUUUGUGCAAGUGCAUAUGUAAUUCCAAUUUCCAGAUUCAAACGGGAUAAAUUCUUCCAACAAAGGGCUCGUUUGGGAGUACUUCUUUCUGAAACGCUUCUACAAAGAAGCAGUUUGUCAUUUGGAUGUCACAUUUGAAAGUGCUUUUACACAACAUAAUAGCGCUUUUGAUAUUUUGUUGAGUGUUUGGUUGACACAAUAAAAGCACUUUUAAAAGUACUUUACAAAAAUUUAAAGAAUCCCAAAAUAUUAUAAUAAACAUAGGAAAUAAAAAUUCACAGGAUCCCAAAAUAAAAACACAACUUAAAAAAGUAUGAACUUCACCAAGUAUAAUUUUUAAUCAUUUUUUGAAAAUAAAAAAGGAAUUAACUAGACAUAAUAAGAUUUUCAAUUCUCUCACGUUUGUCAGCCAUCUCAUGCCCAUGGGUUAGAUUUUGUUCUUCAACCAUCUCUUCCCCUAUAGUAACUCCUGCCCCGCCAGAGGGAAGUAGCUCAUCAUCAUCAUCAUACGGUUGGAAUUCUUGAUCUGUCAUUGAAUGACAUCUUGUAAAGUUGUAAAGAGUCAUUGAAGCAACAAUUAUUAUGCAUACAUAUAGGACAGCUCAUAGGAAAGCAUCUAAAACAAUUUUUUUAAAAUUUUUUUAUUUGAAUACAACCGAUAUUGGGAGUGUGGGGAUUUGAACACAUGAUCUAGGAUACAAGGGUAAUGCUCUUAAUUGUCAAAACAAUUUUUUUCUACUUUUACUGAACACCUAACUUUUUACCACCAAAAAAAAAAAACUAUAUAUAUAUUCCCAUUUGUUUUUUUUUUUUCACUUUGAUUUUUCUCAAGUUUUUAAAAAAUAAUAAUUUUUCUUUCUCAGUCAAAAUCUGAAGUCUUUGUGGUCCUUUGUUUUUCUAUUUUGGUAAAAAGCUUAGGGCCUGUUUGGGAGUGCUUCUGAAACUGCUAAAGGUGCUUUAUGACAACUAAAAGCGCUUUUGACAACGUUUGGCAAAAAAGUUGCGCUUUUGGGUCAUAGAAGCGUUUUCUGGAGAAGCACCUGCUAUGUACUUCUUCAGAAAGCACUCCCAAGUGCUUUUCCAAGAAGUACUUGGAUUUUUUAUGAAAAUUCAAAAUUUUUAUUAUAAAAGUGCUUUCGUUAGAAGUAUUUAUGAAUAGAAGUACUUCCUAGAGAAACAGUCCCAAACGAACCCUAAGGUUUCAGUAAAAGUUUAAAUUAAAAAACAAAAAAAAGGACAAUUUUGACAAUUCAAAAAAGAGGACACAUAUCACUCUUAGAUUGAGCCAUAAUAGAAGUAAGGAGGGAGUUCCUUCUAAUGGGUAAGGAGGGAAGUAUUGUAAAAAAGGAAACAUGUUACAAAAACACAAAGAAAACCUAACAGCAUUACUUAAAAAAAGUAGAGAAGUCAAGCCCAACAUUUUGAGUUUUAUACACCUACGUGACGUGAGCAUUCAAUAAUCAUCCUACACAUAUGCUGAUGUGAGCAUUCAAAAUCAUUAGAAUGAUUUAAUUGAAGACUCAACGUACGGACGUCUUUUUCACUUAGAUUCCCUUCCCGUACAAACUUGCAUCAGUUCCUCCACGACCCCAUCAAUCUCUUCAUCCUCUUUCUUGUUCAUGUUGUCUCUUAUUUUCAAUGCCUUUUUUCUCACUCCCUCUCCAAUUUUCUCCACAAAAACAUCUCUAAUCACCUUUGCGACCUCUUCUCUUUGCAAACUUCCUUCACCUGUUCUCUUAACCUCAACACCAACACCCACCUCCUCCACUAGUCUAGCGUUGAUCGGCUGGUCAAGAUGCAUAGGCAUGGCUAUAAUUGGAACACCAAACUUGAUGCUCUCCAACACUGAGUUCCAUCCGCAGUGACUCACAAACCCCCCAACACUAGAAUGCUGCAGUAUCUUUGCCUGUGGGGCCCAACCCUCCAUUAUCACUCCCUUCUCUCCCACCCUCUGUAAAAACCCUUCUGGUAACACCUCUUCAACCCUAGUAUUUUUCUCCUCCUUAGAAAAUCUUAUAACCCAAAUGAAGCUCACUUUGCUAAGCUCUAAUCCGUGAGCUAUCUCUUCUAUUUGCUCCUUGGACAGAAAGUACUCACUGCCAAAGCAUACAUACACUACAGAAGACCUUUCCAUUUUGUUCAGCCAUUUCAUGAUCCAUGUUUCCUCAUCAACUUUUUGAUCCACUGGCUCUUGAACAAGCGUGCCAACAGGCACGAUCUUUUUCCCCAUUAAAUCAGAGAGAUAAUCAAUAUAUUUUUCUUCAAUCCCCCUGGAUGUCUUUACCAAAAUGAUGUUACAAGAUCGAGCACUGCAUUGCUGAACACGGUCUCCAUCUUUGAUGCCAUUUGCUGAAGAUUCCAACACGUUGUUGAACUUUUCAGCUUCGUAAUCUUGAAGAUAAAUCGAAGGAAAAGGAAACUUGACACUAGGGUUCUUGAGAUGUUGAAUACUAAAUGAAGUAAAGGCAGCACCCAUGGUGAUGAAUUCGAUGGAUGGAAAAUUUUGCAAUGAAGCUAGAGAGGGCGCCCAUGGUUGAAGAAAAUCAUAUAUGAGCAAAUCUGGGCUUAGGGUUUUGAGGAUGUUGGAGAAGUUGUUGCUGGACAUAUCAAAGGCCCUUUUGAGAGUGGACAUGAGAUGGGGAGGGAGGCCAUUGGUGGUAUGGUAGUGAGGUGGGAGUUCAGGCAAGUCAUCAUGUGGAAGAUGGAGUUCCACAAAUUCAAUGCAAUGAGAAUAUUUUUGGGAGAGUUUAGGCUUGAUGGAGCUGAGAUUUACAGGCGUGGAACAAAUAAAGAUGUGAAAAUUUCUCUUGGUGGUCAGCUUCUUGGCUAGCUCUAGGUAGGGAGAUAUAUGGCCGUGAGCUAGCCAUGGAAGCAUAAGAAUAGUAAGUUUUCUUUGGUCAGAGUAAACCAUAUUUUGUUUUCCUUUCACUCUUUUGCUUGAGGUUGCUCGAUUAUAGGCUUAUUGGUAGUUUUUUUGUAGCUAGCUCUAUGCAUAUAUAUAUAUAUAUACACACACAUUCAUGGGAAAAGAGGCUUGGGGAUGGGAAAUCAAUUGAUUUCCUAUGUUUGGUAAAGUUCGGGUAUGAGAAAUCGUUGCUUUGCACAUGAGAAAGUAGAGGGGAAAGUGAAGCCCUCCUCCUUCCUUAGGUUUUGUUUUCCUCCUCAUGGGAAAGUUUGGGAAAAUGAGCUAAUAUUAAAUACAUAUUUUUCAUGACCAUAUUAUCCCCAUUAAUAAUUUAGAAUUACAUAAAUGCAUUCUAUUUUUAUUUGAUUUCAUAUGGGUAUAAUUGAAAAAUUAAACAAAUUUUGUUUUACAUUCCUACACAAACCAAACAUGUGAAAGGAAAUAAAGUGGUAUUUCUUGGUUACUUUCCCAAGAUUACCAAACAUAGGAAAGGAAUCUCUAUUUCCCAUCCCUUAGAAAAUGACUUGGAAAGUAAUUUCUCCUCAAAUUCGUUCCGUGAACCAAACGGAACCUGCAUAAUAGAAGUUCCAAAAAAACACGUGAUGAUUGGAUCAUGCAUAUGUAAGUUCCCGAGUGAUGAUUGGAACAAGUUCCUAAUGAUAAAGACUCGAAACAAGAAUAGUUUAAACUUUCUUCUUUGUUUGGCUUGAUAUAAGACGAAUGCACCAAACAAACCGACUAAUUGCUGGCACAAUAUAAAUUGGGGCUACAAUUACCUAAUAAUUAGGUACUAAGGGCUACAAUUACCUAAUAAUAUCAACUUUCAUUAUACAGAUUUGAGAAACAAAAAGUUCAACUUUGAUGACAAGCGAUAUUAAAGGAGGGCGUAAUCAAACUUAGGAUCUUGAGUGUAGAAAUAAAUACUUUUAACAACUUGAGCUACAAGCCUUUUGUAAUAUUAAUGAUAUUUUAAUUAUACGUUUGAAUAGUUCGCUUCCUUCUCUUUUAUUUUCAUUUGUUUAUAUUUAACUCUAAUUUUAUUUAUAUUUUUGGUCAAGGUAAAAAGACUUUGAAUCUCUCUCCAAUGAUUUUCACAGCCGAAACUCCUUUAGUUUCCACAAAUAUUUUUUAAUAUUUCAUGCAUUUGUAAGUUUCCGACUCGGAUGGUUCAUGUAACCAAGAAGUUUAAACUUGUUUUUGCUUGUUCCGCCGACGAAAGCGCAACAAAAGGACAAACUACAACCAAUACUUCUAGUAUCACCAGUUCUCAUUGAAUUUGUUGCCGUGAAUGUUUAGGAUUCUGCCCAAACUAGUAUUUGCGUUUCUGAAUUGUUUGAAAACACAUAUGAAAUUAUGAUUUCUCCUCCCCAGAAGACAAAUUGACGAAGAAGUAUCAUGAUUUUGAUGACACAAAUUAGAAUCCAGGGUUUUCGAAGUGCCUAAUGGACAACUAUUAAUUUAGAAAUAUAUAUAUUUUUUUCGCAAUGCAGAAACACAUAAAUCCCAAGUUUGAAUUCAUCCUAUUUUUGUUUUUGUUUUUUCCUUUUUUAACCCAGAAGAAAAAUUGAGUGCCACUCUGCUAUGUAGAAUGCAAGUUUUAGUUUAGAUUUUUUUUUCUUUUUAGUCUCUUAUUCUACAUUUAGAUCUCAUAUAUUUACUCGCAUUUUAUUAAAUCUAAGUCAUUCAAACAAUCUGACCACUUAACAAAUUACAAGUACUCAAACUUAAAAUCAGAUUGGAUGGACAUGAGGCUUACACUGAUGAUUCUACACGUGCUGAGAAUAGUCCUUUUAUUUCUUUAUUAUUUUCUUGGUCGGGACUCGAGAGACAGGUGUAGUGUAGCGAUGGAGACGAGGCCCGCAAGACAUAAAAGUCUGAAGAAGAGAAGCGUGAAAGCUUCAUUUAGACAGUUAAGUGCAUACGUAACGUAAAGAUUCAAAGACUAUGUCCCUCUCCAAACAGGGAAAGAUCUGAGUUGAAAGCAACAAACUACAGUCACAAUAGGAAAGCAUCUACAACGUAAAGAAAAUAAGUUUACCAGAAGCAUCGGAAAGAUCUAGAGUCUGAAGAAGAGAUACUGAAGUAAUUGUUCAUCGACUGAGCUUAAAUGAAAUAUUAACUCUUUGUUGUGCCAUAAGCACAAGAUCUUAAGAAAAAAAUUCAAGAUAAACCAUAUAAUAUUUUCUAACCCACAAAAUAAUAUAGAAAAUAAAUGCAAGAACAAGAGAAUAGCAAGACACAACGAGGCUGCUUACAAUCAGUGUAAAUGAGCAAACAAAUUCACCAUCAACAAAUUAGCAUGCUUAUGAAGUGUUUUGCAACCUCACAAACCAAGGCGCCAUAUACACCAAAUGACUCUCACUGAAAAACUAAACAAAGAAACACACUCACACUAAUGAAAGCAACGUUACAAGGUAGGAGAUUGAAUAUUACAUUUACAAUACACUCAUAAGUUACAAAAACUAAUUACAAAUAUUUAGCGCAUAGGUUACAUAGAACUGAAAGGGUGGAAUGAUAAGAGCUAUGGUGGUCAUCCACCAACUCAUGCAUUUACAACACCGCCUCUUGAAUGUCCACCAUACAAUACAAUGAUAUAGUUGCGUCAUUAAACACUUUGCUUGAAAAACUAUAUGGGACAAAACUUAGGCUACGGGAAAAAGAGUGCAACACAAAUAAUAUUGAUAUCACAUUUGUCUCUCCUACGGAAUGAGCUUUGGUGAUGUUUGUAUAAAAAUUGCGUACAAACCAUUAUUGGAAGAUUGGGCUAGAGUGGGCUUUACCCUAGUGUUGACUUUGGAAAGAGACAAAUUAGGCUUAGUUGUGUAAAUUCAAUCCAAAAAAAAAUUAAAUAAUAGCCCACAUCUACAGCCAAAUACUUUAAUACUUUAAUUACUAAAGUUUUUUUUUCUUUCUCUCUCUUCUUUGGUUUAUUCAGCUUUUGAUUUGGCUCAAAUAAUGUUUAUAUCUCUCUUUGAUUUUGUUUUUUCAAAUUUAUUGAUGUUGCUUCUUUUGAAAAUUUUGAAAUAUGGACCCUCCCUAACUAAACCACUCCAUUGAGCAAAAGCCCUUGAGCUUCAAAUUUAUCUUCGUCUGAGCCUCUGAAUUUUGGUUUUUUUUAGGUUUUUUUUGUUUGUUGUAGGUUUCUUUGUUCACAUAUCUCUCUAAAAAUAGUAUUUUUCUUAAUGAAUUCUGAAAAUAGUUUUUAAUUUGAAGGAAAUAUACGGAAUUAGUAAAAAAGUAUACCACUUUCAUUAAUCUGAAGGAAAUAUUGCUUUAUAUAUAUUUGUUUAAAAAUAGGGCUUAUAAUUGAUCUCAAAAAAAAAAAAAAAACAAAUAGCCCACCCCUGUAAAUAUUCCUUAGUCCGCCAUUGCAUGGCAUAAUAUUUGGUAUGCUAUGCUAGCAUCUCAUAAGCUCUUCAAGAGACCUGAAUUUUAUGAUAACUUCUUAAAAAAUUUGAAUACAUUUCAACGAUAUUAAACUUGAAUUUGAACUCAUAAUUCAAUCAAAGUACUCAUUGAGGCAAUUUAGAUCAUUUUCAUUUUAAAAAAAUUGGGUGCACACAUUGAGCUUCAUGCUCUUUACCUUCUUAGAGAUUUUAUUUGAGGAAUUUAUAUUGCAUCACAUAUUACAUCUCUUAGGAUUUGUUCUUAUUAUGUAUUCUUUAAGAGAUCUAUUCUUGCAAUAUGCUUCAAACACUUCAUAAUCUUUAUGAAUUUUUCAUGUAGAUUUAAGGUCUCCAUGAAUAUUGAGAUUGAAACAAGGAGUAAAAGAGUUAAAAGUUUAAGAAAUUUUUUCCCUGAUUAUUUUGUAAUUAUAAUGUUGGUGAAAAUCCAAUUUCCUUUCUAGAAUUUGUGAAAUUUGUUAUUUGGCUAAGCUAAAAGUAUAAUUUUGACAAUAAAAAGCAUAUGAAAGUUUCUCUUUGGUUGGCUUCUUGGCUAGCUCUAGGAACGGACAGUGUGGCCAUGAGAUAACCAUGGAAGUAUAAUAAGAAUGCUUGGAUGCUGUGAACAAUCCAUUUUCUGACUCUUUUUCUUGAGGUGGUUGUUUUCUUAUGGCCCAUCAGAGUUUAUGGUCGACAGAUAAGCUUCAAACACAUGCAUUGGUCGUGUCAGUUGCGAUAAACUCUUCCCAACAAUCAACAAUUUCUAAGGUAAUAUCAUCAUUCAAUCAUGUGCUGAAUUUAGAAUUGUUUUCAAAUCAAGGAUUUGUUUUGGAACUCAGAUUUUAAAACAAUUAAAAUUUAAUUGGGAAGACUUUUUGUUUAAAGGAAGUUCGUUUCAAUUCAAAAAAUAAUUUUUCAGUUUUUCAACUCAAAAGUCUUCUCAGUUUUCUUAUUUUUCUUAUUGGCGAGUUUCUUGGUUAACUCUAGGAAGGGAGAUAUGUGGCCAUGAGCUAACCAUGGAAGCAUAAGAACGCUGACCAUGCUUGGAUUUUGAGAAGACUUCCUCUUUUUUUUUUCCCUGACUCUUCUUCUUGAGGCGGUGGUUGGCUUAUGGCCUCAUAAUAGUUUGGUGUUUUUGGAGAUCAUAUGGUGAUGAUCUGAUGGAGAUGAGUCAUAGUUUGUGCUAGUGCAUACGUAAUUCCAAUUUCCUGAUUCAGAUGGGAUAAACUCUUCCAACAAAUUAAGACUCUUAUCAUGCAUACACAUAAGAAGUGGAAAUUUGCUUCUGUCUUAGUUUGGCCUUGAUAUAGGACAGCUCAUAGGAAAGCAUCCAAAACAAUAUUCUUUUUAUUUUUUUUAUUUGAAUACAAGCGAUAUUAGGAGUGUGGGGAUUUGAACACAUGAUUUAGGGUACAGGGUAAUGCUCUUAACUAUAUGAGUUACAAGUCCCUUGCAAACAGUCUGAAAUACUAAAAAUAAAAAAUAGAUGCUCAUCCAUAUGCACUGUCAUGCCCCAACCCUUGGAUUUACAAAACCUUGUGUUAAGACGUGAUUCACACCUUAAUUAUAGAAUUUAAUAAAAACUAUAACUAAAAUGUGAAGAAAACAUUUAAAUAAAUAAAAUAAAUAUUUCACAUAGAAUAUUCAGUGGAAAUGACAACAUGUGAAAUCUUAAAAAUUUUACAUUAUCUUACAAGUUGGCGUGACUUGUGGAUAUUGACUUACUUUCCUUACACACCAAGAAUUCCUAUUAUAAUUGUAAUUGAUUUACUUUAAUUCAUGAUUUCCUACUGUAAAUAGAUUUAAGAAUUUAUUAUUUACUUGCCCAUUCAGGUUUCGUUGUAUUAUAAAUAUGACCUCCUACAAGGAGAAGAACAUACAGAAAAUUCCCACAAACAAAUAUUCUCUCAUAGUUUUCAUAUUUUAGCAUGGUAUCAGAGCGGCAAUCUUGGAAUUGCUGACUCUAGUUUCAAACCCCCGCCGCCGCUAUGGGGGUUGAUGAUUUUUUCAACCAUCAUGGAGGUAGCACCAUCGACUCCUUCUCUCAUUCUCAACUAACCAUCGUUGAGUUGAGUGCCCAGAUGGCUCCGCUCCUACAGAUGCAGACUUUGACCCCAAACCCGAUCCAGAAUCAGGAUCUUCUUUCGACAACCACGACCCCGAUCUCGACUAUGACAACGACGACCCCGACCCCUACUCUGAAGAUGACCCCGACCCCCACUCCGAUGACCCCAACCCCGAAUUUGUCUCUGAUUCAGAACCCGAUCCCGAUUUCGACUCCGACUCCGGCCUCGACUCAGGCUCAGAUUUCGAUCCAAAUUCCUACUCAACUUAUAUCCUAUGCAUCUUCCGCUGCACAGAUUAUGACUUCUAGACUAACGACCCCGACAUAUGGACCAGAUUGCACAUAUUGUGGUGAUCCGAGACACACUUGUGAGACUUGUUUUAAAUCGCAUGGCUACCCCGAUUGGUGGGCUAUUCUUACAGAUCAAGGACAAUGCACCAGUAAUGGUACUGGUUAUGGAUUCCAUACUUCCGAUAAGAUUGAUUCCAGGAGCUGGAUAAUUGAUUCUGGUGCAACUGAUCAUAUGACGUUUGAUCCUGAUGAUUUUCUGAAUACUACACAACCUCGACGAACUUGUAUUGCAAAUGCCAAUGGUGUUACUUAUCCUGUGACAGGGGCUGGCACUGUUGCACUCUCAUCCUCUCUCACACUGUCUAAUACUUUACUUGUUCCAUUUUUAUCCACUAAAUUGUUGUUAGUUAGUCAGCUUACUAAACAAUUGAAGUGUUGUGUACUCAUUUACCUGAGUUUUUGUUUGCUUCAGGAUAUUCACACUAAGGAGAUUCUUGGUCGUGGUACUAAGAGAGGGGGGCUAUAUUAUGUCGAUGACUUCAGUUCCGGCGUGCCUAACAGUGUGACACAUCCCUUUGAUAGCAAACAAAAGCAAAUUUGGUUGUGGCACCUUCGAUUGGGACAUCCGUCUUUCAGUUAUAUGAAGCAUCUUAUACCAGAUUUAUUCUUAGGUUUCAAGGACUCCGACUUCACAUGUGAUACUUGUAUUUUGGCUAACAGUCACCGUGUGCCCUACCUGUUGAGUACGAACAAGUGUACUUGUAAGAUCCCACAUCAACCAACGGAGAGGGGGUGAUGUGCCUUAUAUAUGCACACCUGCAUCCAUCUAGCACGAGGCCUUUUGGGAGCUCACUGGCUUCGGAGUCGUAGGAACUCCGAAGUUAAGCGAGUUGGGGGCUAGAGCAAUCCCAGGAUGGGUGAUCCACUGGGAAGUUGCUCGUGAGCUCCUAGAAACAAAACCGUGAGGGCAGAGAGAGGGGCCCAAAGCGGACAAUAUCGUGCUACGGCGGAGUUGAUCCCGAGAUGUGACAAUUUGGUAUCAGAGCCACUCUGCCGUGUGGUGCGAAUGUGCCGACGAGGACUUCGGGCCCUUAAGGGGGGUGGAUUGUAAGAUCCCACAUCAACCAACGGAGAGGGGGUGAUGUGCCUUAUAUAUGCACACCUGCAUCCAUCUAGCAUGAGACCUUUUGGGAGCUCACUGGCUUCGGAGUUGUAGGAACUCCGACGUUAAGCGAGUUGGGGGCUAGAGCAAUCCCAGGAUGGGUGACCCACUGGGAAGUUGCUCGUGAGUUCCCAGAAACAAAACCGUGAGGGCCAGAGAGGGGGGCCCAAAGCUGAUAAUAUCGUGCUACGGCGGAGCCGAUCCCGGGAUGUGACAAUUGUACUACUCCAUUUACGUUAAUUCACUCUGAUGUCUUGGGACCUUCGCCUAUCACUGCUCCUUCUGGUGUUCGAUGGUUUGUCACAUUCAUCGAUGAUUGUAUACAGAUGACAUGGCUUUAUUUGCUGAAGAAUAAAAACGAAGUGUUUUCCCGUUUUCAGUCCUUCCACAAACAGAUGAAAACUCAGUUUAAUGCUCAAAUCCAGAUUCUUCGCUCAGACAAUGGUGGAGAAUUUGUCAAUCAUGACUUUCAGACUUACUUCCAACAACAUGGAAUUAUCCAUGAGACGACUUGUCCUCAGACACCACAACAAAAUUGUGUUGUUGAACGAAAGAAUUGACAUCUUCUUGAAACCGCCCAAGCACUUCUGAUUGGCGCUCAUGUUCCUCGCUAUCACUGGGAUGAUGCUAUUGUCACCGCAGUUCACCUGAUCAACCGCAUGCCUUCUGGUGUAUUGACCUUUAAAACUCCCUUACAGGUGCUUGCGCAACACAGACCUCUGCUCUCUGUUUUGGUACUCACACCCCGAAUCUUUGGAUGUGUGGCUUUCGUUCAUCUCCACAAAAAUCAACGUAGCAAACUUGAUCCCUGUGCGCUUCGUUGUGUUUUUAUAGGUUAUGCCACUCAUCAGAAAGGCUACCGUUGUUAUCACCCUCCUACCCAACGAACCUAUGUCACUUUGGAUGUGACCUUUCUGGAAUCUGAGUUGUUCUUCCAUGACCCAUCAUCCAAUUCUACGCAUCAGGGGGGGAUACGAAGUGAAGAGCAGAAUUGAAGCAACUUGGGAAAUAAAGAAAUUUUCCUCUGUACAGAAAUGAUUAAUCAUCCUGAGUCUGGAGCACGAGAUUACUCUCUGUCGAAAAGCAACCAAUCGCCCAUUCAUAGCGAUCAAUUGCCUCACCUACCUGAUCCAUGUGAAGAUAUUUUUGAUCCGAGUCUCACACCUACAGACAAUACAGAACAACAAGAUGAAGACUCCCCCUCUAACUCAACAGUACCAACAGACCAAUCUCCUGAGAAUAUCCUUGAGGUAACUACUCCUACUAGAUUUGUGCAUUUAAAUGAUUAAACUAUUGGAUAUCAAUUACCUUUCAGGGAAAAUCGUGGGAAGCCAUCAAACCGUUAUGCACCUGAUAUUGGCAAGACAUCCAAGUAUCCAAUUGCAAAUCAUGUAUCCACUGAGAAGCUGUCUGAACAACUCAAGGCUUUUGUGCAUCAGUUGUCUGCGAUCCAUAUUCCAACCAAGGUCUCUGAAGCAUUAAAAUAUCCUAAGUGGGUCCAAGCUAUAAAAGAGGAGAUGAAAGCUCUUGAGAAAAAUCAGACUUGGACAUUAGAGACUAUACCUCGAGGAAAAAAGACUAUCAGAUGUAGAUGGGUGUUUACUAUAAAACACAAUGUAGAUGGAUCUAUCGAGCAAUACAAGGCAAGACUUGUGGAAAAAGGGUACACACAGACAUAUGGUAUAGACUAUGAAGAAACCUUUGCUCCAGUUGCAAAGUCAAACACCAUCAGAGUCUUAUUGUCCCUUGCAGCUAAUUUGGAUUGGCCACUACACCAGUUUGAUGUAAAGAAUGCUUUUCUACAUGGCGUACUCACGGAGGAGGUGUACAUUUACAUUCCUCCUGGAUAUAAUACUACUUAGACUGGAACAGUUUGCAGGUUACGAAAAGCAUUGUAUGGAUUGAAACAGUCACCACGUGCAUGGUUUGGACAGUUCACCAUGGCAAUGAAGAACAAUGGUUCAAACAGUGCAACUCAGAUCAUACUCUACUCUUGAAACAUCGAAAAGGGAAGGUAACAACAUUAAUAAUCUAUGUUGAUGAUAUGAUUAUUACUGGGAAUGAUAAACAGGAAAUAUCACAGCUACAAGACUAUCUGGCUACGGAGUUUGAGAUGAUGGAUCUAGGUGGACUCAAGUAUUUCUUGGGAAUUGAGGUGGCUCGAUCCCAGCAAGGCAUAUUUCUCUCUCAAAGGAAAUAUGUCUUGGACUUGUUGACAGACACAUGAAUGCUAGAUUGUAAACCUGCGAACACUCAUAUUGUUCAGAAUCAUCAUCUUGGAGAAUAUCAUGAUCAAGUUCCAACUAACAAAGAAAGAUACCAAAGGUUAGUAGGAAGAUUGAUCUAUUUGUCACAUACUUGACCAAACAUUACUUAUGCAAUGAGCGUUGUCAGUCAAUUUAUGCACUCUCCAAGUGAAGACCACACGAAUGCAGUUCUUCGGAUACUUAGAUAUUUGAAGUCUGCACCUGAAAAAGGACUUAUUUUCUGAAAGCAUGGUCAUAUAAAUAUUGAUGGUUAUUCAGAUGUAAUGUAACAGAUAGAAAAUCCACAUCCGGUUACUUAACAUUCAUGGGAGGUAAUUUGGUGACAUGGAGGAGCAAGAAACAGAAUGUAGUAGCUUUAUCCAGUGCAGAAGCCGAGUUCAGAGGCAUGACUAAAGGAAUUUGUGAACUUCUUUGGUUAAGAAAGUUGCUUACUGAACUUGGGUAUAAACCUACAUCCACAAUGAUUCUCUUUUGUGACAACAAGGCUGUUAUAGCCAUUGCACAGAAUCCGGUUCAGCAUGAUCGUACUAAACAUGUUGAGGAGGAUCGACACUUCAUCAAACAGAAGCUUGAGGCUAAAAUGUUUCAGUUUUCUUUUGUGAAAUCCGAGGAUCAAUUGGCGGAUAUUUUGACAAAGGUGAUUUCCAGUAAAACAUUCCACAAUUCACUGGAUCAGUUAGGCAUUGGCGAUAUCUAUGCACCAACGUGAGGGGAAGUGUUGGCGUGACUUGUGGAUAUUGACUUACUUUCCUUACACACCAAGAAUUCCUAUUAUAAUUGUAAUUGAUUUACUUUAAUUCCUGAUUUCCUAUUGUAAAUAGAUUUAGGAAUUUAUUAUUUACUUGCCCAUUCAGGUUUCGUUGUAUUAUAAAUAUGACCUCCUACAAGGAGAAUAACAUACAGAAAAUUCCCACAAACAAAUAUUCUCUUAUAGUUUUCAUAUUUUAGCAAGAACUACUCGAGAGUUUACUAAAAGAGUAGUUCAGUAUUCAUCCACAAGCUAUAUACACAAUACACUCUAUAGAUAUGCCAAAAUCAUCGCAAGCUCUAGAUUUUAGGUUCGAUACCUGCAAAAUCUAUUAGAAGGGUGAGUGAAACCACAGUUUAGUAGGGACAUAAACCUUUUCACGGUAAACUGAUAUAAUUAAAUUAAGUGAAAAAUAAUCACACAGCCAAAUAUCACAUUAUUAAUAACAAUGCAUGAAUGCUCUUCAUUUAACCCGUUAAUUCAUAUAAUUAGACAAGCUUCACGACCCAUACCAUGCUUAUACCACUUAGUCCCGAAUGCCAAUUUAUAUGAAUUAACGCCCAUUUCAAUCAUCCCAUAAUUCCCAUUUUGUUAGUCAUCUUGUCUAACUCCCUGUUGCCAGUCCUGAAUCACCAAAAAAAAAAAACCAUGUGCACUAUGGGAUCCCUGAGUACUAGUACCUGGCAAGAGUUAGACUCAACUACACAAAAGAUCAUUUCUAUUACCCUCUUAUCCACCAUUAUUUUCUCAACUUCAGAAUUCUAGCCAAAUUCCAUGACAUGAUAUAAUUAAAAUUAUGCCUUCACAACAAUGUGCCCAUUUAAAACAUCACUAAUGCACAUAUAAUUAUGCCCACAUUGUUCAAAUAGUUAAGAGUACGUAAAUACCCAAUACAUGGAACGUCAAUCAAACAGUACCACGCAUAAUAUAAUGCUCAAGAAAUUUAAUUAAAUCAAUCUCUGUAAAAGGCCCCUAAGAAACCCCUGCCUUGAUACUAAAGCUUUUGCUAGACCUAUAAGGUGUUUUCCAAUUUUCCACCGCAUUCACAAACUCUGUCUUCUACUUUUUUUCUUACUUCUCUCUACCACUAUUUCUUUCUCGUUUUCUUUGUUUUCACUUGUUGUGCAACUUAAUGUCCUAUAUAUAUACAAGGAACAAGUCGGCAGUAAGUGAUUUCCUAUUGGAUGGUGUAUUCGGUUGUUAUAAACUUACUAGUAAUAGUUAUCAAUGUAGUUGCAGAUGAGGAAGAAUGUUUUUGUGACUCUUCCAAUCCCUCUAAUCCUAUUUCUUAUCUUCUUGGUGAGUUGAUAGCCUCGAUACUUAACAGAUUUUAUACUUUGACACGUAUUAACAAGAACUAUUUUAAAAACAUAUACAUAUAUAUAUAUAUAAUAGAAUAUGUAUAUAUGUAAUACACAUAUUUAUAUAUAAUAAGAAUAAUAUAUAUGUAAUAAGAUAUAAAUAUUUAUUAGAACAGUAUAUAAAAUAAUAUAUAUCAUUCUUAUUAUAACAAUAAUUUUAAUUUUCCCAAAAUAAUAUAUAUUUAAAAAUAUGUGGUUUCACAUGCAUGUCCUUUUUGCUAUAGACACUAUUACAAAAAUCGAAAUAGACAACGGAAAACUACCGUCGUCUGGAAAGUUUUCAAACAGUCGUGAAAUCGACUGUCGUCUCUUUUACAUAAAACAACGACGGCUAUUAACCAACGUCGUUAAUACAUUCCACGUAAAAAACUAUUAUAAACCGACGUGUAAUUACUAUAUAUAUAGCCUAAAAUAAAAUCUUCAACAACCUUAGACGACGGUUUUAUUAAAACUGACACGUCUAAAGAGUGUUACAUGUCAAGAUCAAAACAAGAACCGACGUACAGAUAAUUAUCCACGUCCUAAUUGAAGUAAAAUAGACUUGGAUAACCUAGAAACCGUCGUGGUUAACAUAUACUACGUUAAAUUAACAAAGGCACUUACGUCUAAAAAGUAAAAGACAACACGCGCACAAAGCAACAGACGUUUAAAGCUUAGUACAUGUCAAUAGCCGCUCAAUAACCGCAGUAAAAUGAAUUAACCACGUCCCACAUAUGGCAGAACUGUUGCUUAUGUGAUUAUCCACGUCGCGGAGUAGUAGAACAAAGACGUUGUAACCAUAUUCCACGUCUGUUUCUUGUGAGAAUUGUCGUUUAAAUUAUACAAAGAAGCCCCUUUGACAGAGUUAGACGUUGCUCUUGCUGUAGAACCGACUUCUAACAGGUUUAAAAUGACACAAUAUUACUUAAUACUGCCGUAACAAAUCAUAUCCACGACUGCUGUUGUCAAAGACUGACGUUACAAAAAAUAUUGAAGGUGUUGACAAAAAAGAACCGACAUGGAUUAUGCAUUCAACGUCGUGUGGUCUAAAAAUAAAGGACGUGGUUAAUUUUUUCUCUACGUCAAGUGGAUCCAAUUGCCUGAUGUUGUAAUUCUUUACCAUGUUGGUUUUUAAUACAUGAUGAUGUGGUUGUCCUUUUAAAAGUCGCUUGUUUUACCCUCCUUGACGUGUGUAUGAUAUGAGACGUCAAUUGUUUUAGACUAGCUGACGUGCAGAAAAUCUGUCACGACAAUUAAUGCAACUGAAUUGCCUCUAUUUCCCCCAGACGACGGUAGGUUUUAAGUGUGGAAGUAGUGUUUUACAAAAUCGUAAGUUGGAGUAAUCUACCAUCGUGUUAUUCGAGAAUAUACCACGAUCUUUGUUUUGUACUCGGUCGCUGAUGUUUAUACUACUUAAUAAACUGACAUGUUUUCAGUUUCAGACGGCGGCUUUUGUUUCUUUAUGGUCUUUUGCAUUUUUUUUCCAUGACAUUUUUGAAAGCCUAAUGUUGGUUUUAUUUUAGAAAUCGAUUUUUCCCCUUUUUUUACUGGACCGUCGUACUUUACACAUUUAAUCAAUUUUUUUCAAUUUUUGAUUCAUCGUGCCCAAAGCCUACAUAACGAAAAUGUGAUCAGAAUUAAAAUGAUGUACAAAGGUAUUAAUUAAUGUCAUACAAUUAACUGAAUAACUAAUGUCAUACACUACAACAAUCAAUCAAUCCAUAUAUCUUCACACCCAUCUUUAAUAUUUUCACUCCCAAACUCACCCACUAGGUCAUCAUAUGUGUCAACAUUUGGUAUCCCUCUAGUAAAUGUCUCACACUCAAUUCUAAUAUCACCUAGCACAUCAUCACCAAUAACAUUAUUAUAUUCUCUAUUAUGCAUUGAUAACACUACCGACCAACCACGAUGCAUUGGGUCGUCAGCAUAAAAUACUUGUUUUGGUCAUUCCUAUGUCCAAUUUUACUCAAAUCUACAAAGGUGAAUCCAAGUUCAUCGACAACAAGGCCCAAAGUGUUAUCUAUCCAAUCACACCUCAAGACAAGGAUUCUAAACUUUUGGUAGUCAAGGUCCCAAAUUUCUUGAAUAACACCAUAAAAACCCAUAUUGGAGACAAUAGAGUUUUUAUCCUUAGCACUAGCAACUUGCAUAGUAUGUGCAAGUAAAUAAACUCCACUAUUUUGGACAGUUCGCAUAUCAUCUUGUGCCUUGGUGUUAAAUUUAACACCAUUAAUAAGAUAGCUCCUAUAUGAUGGCAUUGCCAUGCUUGGACUAGCUGCUAGCCACCUCAAAUUUUAUGAUACGCCAUUAUGCUCUUCCCCAUUAAGUUCACUUUGAACUUGCAAAUUAAUCGUAUAUAUCCUAAUUCGAUCUAACAUAUAAAAAGGAAGAAAAUUAAAAGUUGAAUAUGUCAUUCAAUAACAUAUAUACUUGAAAGUGUAGCCAUUGAAUGAAAGUGCUAUUGUGCUUAUCUUGCAGCCACUUUGUUCUCUUUCUAAAUAUUGGAUAAGUGGUCUUGAUGUGGAUCAUAUGUUCCAUACAUUGACACGAAAAAAUCAAGCAUUACGGUCCCUUGUAUAUAAGAUAACAUAAGGAAUAAUAAUAUUUAAAAUGGCUCUAUAUGAAAAAUGGAACUCAUGCGUACUCGAUAUAAGGUAGGACUUCCUCAGUAUUCUCCAAGACAUAUAGAUGUGUCUGGUUCAAAAAACCCGAUCACCUAAGCUUACUGUGCAACCAGAUAAUGGCUUUGAAACUCCCAUCUUCUAGCUUGAAGGCACUCCAACUGUACUAACAUCAGAUAAAUGCUCGGUGCAAAACUCUACAACUUCUUCAGCUAUAUACCGCUCAAUAAUGCAACAUCCGGGACGAGUACGGUUCUGAACAAACCUAUUUAGCACUUUCAUAUGUCUUUCAAAUGGAUACAUCCAUCUAAAAUAUACUGGCCCAUGUAGACGAACUUCUCUGACAAGAUGUACUACUAGAUGAACCAUGAUAUCAAAGAAUGAAGGGGGAAAGUACUUCUCAAGCAAACGCAACGUAACUACUACAUCUUCUUCCAAAUUAUCUAGCUUGGAAACAUCUACUGUCUUUGCACAUAUAGCAUUGAAGAAGAAGCACAAUCGAGUUAUUGCAUACCUUGCAGGCUUCUCCAAACAGAACGAAUUGCCACAGGGAGCAAUUGUUGCAUCAAGGCAUGAAAAUUAUGAGAUUUAAGGCCAAGAAGUCUUGAAUAUUUUUAAGAUACAAGAUUUUUUUAUAUUUGAACAAUAACCUUCAGGGACUUUCAUACCAUAGAAAGAAUUGCAAACCGCUCUCUUAUCUGCUCUUGACAAAUUCUAGGGCCUUGGAGGCAAGCGAGUACGUCUUUCUCAAUACUCGGGUUGCAAAUCAUUUUUGACCCCCAUGUUCAAUAAAUCUAACCGAACAGCAAUCUCAUCUUUAUUUUUUCUAGGGAUCUCCAGCAAUGUACCAAUGAUACUAUCGCAAACAUUCUUCUCAAUAUGCAUAACAUCUUGGACAUGCCUCAUAGGAAGGUAUUUCAAAUACUCGAGAUCAAAGAAUUUUGAUUUCUUAUUCCAACAAACUCUGUCACCAUCAUUCUCAAAAACACUUCCCCCAUUUUUCGAGCCCCAUAUGUAAUUAAUAUCUUCAACCAUGUCCUAUUCAAGUUAAUGGUUCGGGAGGCGUGCCAUAUUCAAGUUUUCCAUUGAAAGCUGCACGCUACCUCCGACAUGGAUGAUUGAUUGGUAACCAUUUUUUAUGACCAAUGUAACAAAUUUUGGGGCCAUUUUCAACCUGUGACUAGGUGUAUCAUCGCCGCAUAUUGGACAAGCUUUAUAUCCUUUAACGACACUGUAACACCCCGACUCUAAAUUAAUCCCUUAUUUAAUUAUUUAAAGAAAAUUACAAAUUUACCCUUAAGAUAGGGGUAUUUUGGUCAUUUUCUUACCCGAAGAGAGUUUGGGGCAGUGACUAGUAUUUUUGGAUAGGUCGUACUGAGACGAGUUCAUAGACACGUAGUGGGCUCGAAUCGAAGUUGUAACGAGAGAGAUAUGGUCAAAAGAAACCCAAUUGCACAAUCAUAAUUAUUUCGAAAUGAGAUUUUUAUAAAAAUCAGAUUUUUUUUUCUCUCUCUCUCUCUCUCCUCGUCGGUCUCUCUCCCUCUCCUCGAAACUCCGGCCAUCGGCCACGGCUGUGGACGGGGCCGGUACCAAAAUGACCGAGGCGUUGUCCUCCUCUAAUCCCAGCUAGGUCCCGCCGUCAGCCGCCAUGGUUUCGCCGGAAAAUGGAGAAGAAGCGGCCGGCGUCGUCCGAAGUUCUCCGCCGUUGAUCUCCCUCUUCCGGUCACCGAUUCCGACGAGUGAGGUAUGGUUUCUCACCUACUUUUCAUGCUCUAGCUGCCUGCUGGGUAUGAUUGGAUUGAUUUUUAGCGUAGGCAAUUCGAUUUUCGCAUUGAAAUUCGGCUAAUUUUGGAAUCACGAUUCCGGCUAGUUCUGGUCAGUUUUUGGGGUAGAUCCAAGAACAAAAGUGGCUCCAAAUAGGGUGUUAUACCUAGGGUAGGAGUUUGGAGCCAUGGUUUUGAGAUUUUCCGGCGAUACGUAAUCGCUUUAGACACCCAACGCUGCCCGCACGUGUGGCAGUGCGUGGGCGAGGGUAGUGAAAUAGCACUAUGUCUCGAUGAGAUCCUUAGGUUGUCACGAGUGCGUAGGAUUUCGCGGAUCUCAAUUCGGACGUCGUUUGACUAUCGAACGGAUUUUCGUAUAUUGCGCGUCAUCCGGGUUCGAUAGGUUGGGACCGUUGGAUGGUCUCGAAUAAAAUAUAUGUUAAUCUAGGUAUUUCUAGGAUCAUGUAGGAAUUCACGGAUUAUAAAUCGGAGCCCCGGAUAUUCCGAAUAAAUAAUUUAAAGUUUAUGUUUUAUAAUAACCGUCACAUCGUGCGAUCGUGAGCGAUCCGACCGGCCGAUCUGGACCAAACUUACAGAACGAGUGUCCUAUACCUUGAAGAACCCAUAGGAAUUUUCAGAUCGAAAUUUGGAGGUCGUGGGCCCCGUGGGCCCAUUUGACUAGGGGUAGGGUAGUUUGACCCUUAGUUGACCGUGAGUCUCCCGGAGUAAUCUCACCUUUCCAGGGGGAUUAUCGGGUGCUAGACUGUUGUUGAGGUUUACACGAUAUUAGUAGUAAAUUAUAUAUUUAUAUACAUUUGUAAAGGUAAAAAAUAAGUCCAGAAUGUCAGUUUGAAGUGCUUUACGCACUACCUUAGGUACCUCCCCGGAUUUUAGUUACACUACAAGUACCACCCUAUGAAAGUUAGGUCCCACGUGGCGUAGGUUAUCCGGCGUGCGGACAGGCCCUAUACGUGGCAUUGGUAGUAUCGGUGUAUGGGGAGAUUACGUGAUAAUAUGUUGAGGUCACACGUGGCGUAGGUUAUCCGGCGUGUUGACAGACCCCAUACGUGGCGUUGGUUGUACCGGCGUAUGAGGAGAUAUUGUGAUAUGAUAUUCAGGUCUCGCGUGGCGUAGGUUAUCCAGCGUUGAGACAGACCCCAUACGUGGCGUUGGUUCUACCGGCGUAUAAGGAGUUUAUGUGAUAUUAUGUUGAAGUCGCGCGUGGCGUAGGUUAUCCGGUGUGUCGACAGACCCCAUACGUGGUGUUGGUUGUACCGGCGUAUGGGGAGAUAUGUGAUAUGAUGUGCAGGUCUCGCGUGGCGUAGGUUAUCCGGCGUUGAGACAGACCCCAUAUGUGGCGUUAGUUGUACCGGCGUAUGGGAAGAUAUUGUGAUAUGAUAUUCAGGUCUCGGGUGGCGUAGGUUAUCCGGCGUGUUGACAGGCCCCAUACGUGGCGUUGGUAGUACCGGUAUAUGGGGAGAUUAUGUGAAAUACAGAGAAAUGAAAUAAGGUAUUGCCUAUGUGUGGAAUUGGGUUUUAAGGAAGAACUACGUGUGGCUUGAUCCCUCAGGGAGGGUACGUAGGCAGCCUAAGGUUAUUAGGUGUAGCCGCGGACAUAGACGUGAUUGUGUUAGGAGGUUAAAACCUCGUAUGUUGAAAUUGAGAAAAUUAGAUGAUGUAUGUUGAAAUUUAGUAGUCGUAAUUUAUAUUUAAAUUUAUCGUUUGCCUUGUUUAAGGCAUGAAUUGAUUUGCUAGCAUGCUUGGUAGUUGAGAAUUAUAGAAAGGCCGAAGGCCGUUUAUGUGAAUUGCAUGGAAUUAUAUUGUGCAUGCUGCCAGUUGUAGUUAUUAAAUGUGUUUUUAUGCAGGUUGAAAUUUUGGGAAAUGUCCAAUUUACAGGGGAGACUCUGCCGAAAUUUCGGCAGAAAGUCUCGGUCUUUAGUAAGUGGGCCUGACAUCGAGGUGAUGUCGGGGAAUCCACAGGAUCCGCCUCGAUUUUUGGAAAAAUCGGGGCGGUUCCUUUCAGACACAACCAGAUAAGUUCUCAUAGGCAGAAAAAUCAUUAAUUGUUCACAGUAAUACACCUAUGAGUGUAAAGUAAUCUCCUAUGUGUGCAUCAUACACUCCUUUAAUCCCAUCCCACAAAGAUUUUAAAUCAUCAAUCAGAGGCUCUAAGUAGACAUCUAUAUCAUUUCCAUUCUAUUUAGGACCAGAAAUCAAUAAGGUCAAUAUCAUGAACUUCCAUUUCAUGCAUAGCCAUGGUGGGAGAUUAUAUGUAACUAAGAUAACCAACAAUUGUAUCUGCUACUUAAAGAACUGUGGGGAUUGAAUCCAUCAGAUGAGAGAGCCAAUCUCAAGUUUCUUGGCUCUUUACUGAACUCGGGCCAUUUAUCAUCAACAAGUUUUUAAGACGGGAAAUUCGCUGGAUGAGACAUAUGACCGUCAAUUGCUUUUCUAGCAACAUGCCAAGUCAAACUCUUAGCUGUCAUAUGUGAUUGAAACAUCCUUUUAAACCUUGGAAUUGGAGGAAAAUACCACACCACCUUCGCUGGCACACUCUUUUUCAAGAUUGAAUCUUUGCAUUCCUUCCACCUUGAGAUACCACAAGUAGGACAAUUAGUUGAAUCUUCAUAAUCAUUCCUAUACAAGAUGCAGUCAUUGGGACAUGCAUGGAUAUUCUCAUAACUCAUCCCUAAAGGAGAUAAUGUCUUUUUUGCCUCGUACAUAGAGGAAUAUAGUGUCUUUCCUUCUGGAAGCAAAUCUCCUUGAAGUAUCAAUAAUUCUAUAAAACAAACAUCACUCAUCCCAUGUUUUGCUUUCAAAUUAUAUAACUUCACCAAAGCCGACAACAUCGUGUACUUACUGCAACCAGGGUACAAGGAUUGAUCUCAAUCCCCAAUCACAUUGGCAAACUCAUAAGGAUCAAAUCCAAUAUCGCCUAAAUCAUUAUCAUCCAUCCCUACUUCUUUAGAAACAAAACUGAACCUACUUUGCUCAUCUUCUUCCACAUUUCUACUAGCAUUAGUAGUCAAUUCCCAAGGUUCUCCGUGCCAUGUGCAAAUCUGAUAGCUUUAGUCAAUUCCAUUAAAGUAUAAGUGGUCCCUCAUAAUUCCAACCCCAAACAAUCGAAUAUUCCCACAUUUAACACAUGGACAACGAAUAUGAGUUGUAUUUCCAAGAUUUUCUACAGCAAAAUUCAAAAAUCCUUCCACCCCUAACUCAUAUGCCUUCGGUCUUCUAUCCGCAUGCAUCCAUGACUUAUCCAUCUCACACACUAUAAAAUCAUAUAUAUAAUAAAGUGAAAAGACCAGCAAUGAAACACUACUUUAUUCACAUAGCAAAGAAUGAAUUGAAAAAAAAAAUUAACCAAGAAUCAGACGACGGUUUUUACAAAAAAAAUCGUCCUGUAACAGAGGGUCAGACGACGGCAUAUCUAGUUAUCGACGUCUUUAAGCUACCCAAACCCAGAUAUUUGUAUUGCUUUUUGAAGAACCGGGUUCUGGGUUCUGGUAAACAAAAGAUGACGGUAAAUGGAGAAACACCGACGUAUCCUAAAACUUGAGACGACGGUUUAUUUCACCAACCGUCGUCGUAGUUUACGAAAAACAGAAGUCUAAAUCUCCCAUCCUCAUUCCUUUUCUAAGAACCCUUAACAAAAUGCAAACAUCAAAAUAUAAAAGAGCCAUAUAUAGCUCCCAAUUAAGAAACCAAAGCUACCAAAACAUAUAUUAAUAAACCAAAGCUACCAAAAUGAACGAAAACAUUUAUGGGUUUUACAAACUAAGAGAAUAUUGAGAGAGAGCUGAGAGAAUAUACUUACAUGGAUAUUGAGAGAGAGCUGAGAGAAUAUAACAAAUGCUUGAGAGAGAGCUUAGAGAAUAUACACAAUGCUUUGAGAGAGAGCGAAAAAUUUAAGACAAAUUUAUGUUGAAGAGAGAGAAGGAAAUAUUUUAGGGUUAAAGGGAAAUUCUGAAAAUUUUAGAUCACCGUCAAAAUUUUCAAAGGACCGCGUUUUUCAAAGACGGCUAAGGAAAACUACCGCCAUUGUAAAUCAUUUUACUACGACGGUUGAGGAAAACUACCGCCAUUGUAAAUCAUUUUUAUGUCGCCUCUAUAAAAACCGACGUCUAAAAUAUUAAAUAAUUAGAUUUGGUUUGCAUUUCGUGGGAUUCUAACGUGCGUAAUUGACCAAAAAGAGCGAGAGAAAACCAGCGUCGUUUCUAUAAAACCUAAACCCUAAACCCUAAACCCUAAACUCUAAAACCUAAACACUGAAAAAAUUAACCAAAAAUUGCUAUGGACUCCUUACAACAAUGCCUUCUAUAUUAGUAGGCUAAAAUCGGGAUUAAAUAAUUUUGAAUUUUAUGACCACCAAUGGAUCACAUAAACCUUAGGGUUAUGUUUAUGGAAAGUAUAAGGAUUAUUGUGUUUUGUCUCUAAAUCUUUUUUACUUUUGUUAUCACUUGUAACUUUGAAAUCUAAAAUUAAAAUUUUCAGGCCUUUAGGGGGGAGAUAUUGUCUCAAUGUGUUUAUAGAAUUUGAGACUGCGAAGGUUCUAGCUGAUUGACUAAGGAUGAGGCAGGAUGGAUGGAAGGUUUGCUUGGAGAUUCUACCUUUGUCAGCUCUUCUGGUUGACAUGUUGUUUAUUCUGCCUGAGGAACUACUUCUAGAUUUUUCCCUUUUCUAGCAGAACUAGUCUCUGGAAGUACUUGUGUGUCAUCCUUAUUCUUGAGGAAGACGCAGUAUUGCCUUUGAACUCUCCUCUUUUGCAUUCUGGUUAGCUUCAGAGUUGGUCUUCGGCUUUUUCCAAUAGAAUAUCAUCUACCUUCUAUGAUAGUUGCAAAGGGCUUGUCAUUUCCAGGCAUCUUAACUGGUAUUUCCUUCUUUGGCUGCUCUAUUAUUCUCUUGUUGCGUUGGGCAGGCCUUAAAUAGUCCUUCUGUCUGGCUCUAUCUCUAGGUGGAGCCGGAACUAGGCCUUGUUGGUAUGAUGUUCCAAUCCUGUCAAAAACACAAGGUGUGGGCUGACUUUGCCUAACCAGAGUUACCUCUAACUCACUUUCACAUUUGCACCUGUUGCACAAAACUACCCCAGCCGAAAUGGUUGCUUUUGGUCUUCAAUUAGCCUAUCUUUGGACUCUUCUGCCUAUGCUGGGGCUAACUUUUGCUGUUAGUUUGCCUUUCUUUUGUUUUGGCCAAUUUAAGUUGACCAUGUUGACUUGAGGUUGGGGAAAAGGGUCUGUUGUUAUCGAAUGAGGUUUCUCAGCCAGUUUUAGCCUCCAUGCUGUUAUUCCUUCCUGUAUGACGUCCCUGAAAACAACACAACUAUUGGUGGAAUGGUCCCAGGAGUUAUGCCAUCUGCAAUACUGUCUGCCCUUGAGUUCCUCUAGCUUGGGCAACUUGUAGGGUGUUUCUAUUGCCUUCUGUCGCAGCAUGUCAUCAAACAGGGCAUCAACCUUGGUUAAAUCGAGGGAAUAGACUUUGUUAUGAGCUGGUUUGUUUGGAACAAACCCUCUUGUGAAUGGUGGUGGCUUUUGGUCCUUUGGUGGCUUUGUUAAAGCCUUGCAACUGAUGAGAUGUUUUAAUUUCCCCAUUUCUGCCACUGCAACUUCUCUCUCCUCCGAGCUUUCUAUGCCUUCUUCUGAUUCUACCUCAACAAGAUUUACUGAAGAGGAUGGGGUUUUGUAAUAUGUGCCUUUGAAAGAGUUCCUCUUCUAUUGUUCUUCCCUGAGCAGCUCCUUGUAUUUAGAUGCUUUGUCUGCUAGUUCUGCCAGAUCUCCAAACAGCAUCCCAUCAAAUUUUUUUCUCAGAGAGAUUUUAAGGGAGAUUUGAGCCAUUUGGAUGAAGUGCCCUUCCUCCAUAGGGAUUCAAAAUUUCAUUUUGAGCUUUUUGAACCUGGUUAUGAAGUCUUGGGCAGGCUCAUCUUCCCUCUAUUUCCAGGUUUGAGGGCAGCAAGAUCACUGAUGGUGACUUCUGGCUGAAUCCUAAAAUAGUAGUCAUGGAAGACAUUUUCCAUCUAUUUCCAGGUUUGAACAGAAUUGGCUGGUAAGCUAGUAUAUUAGAUGAAGGCUUGUCCAGAGAGAGAAUUUCGAAAAAGCCUUAGUUUUAACAGAAGGUUAUUUUCUAUGGCUAUGCACUGGAAAGAGAAUCUGCCUAUAUGCUUAACUGAUGAAGCAUGGGUGUCUUCUCCGUUGAACAAGGUGAAGUGUGGUACCUUAAAGCCCAGGGAUAGAGGUAUUUGAUCGAUAUAAGCUGGAUAAGGCUUUCUGUAGGUGGGCCUUUCUCCUCUUCUGGCCUCAGGUUCCAUCAUCUCUCUGAUCAUUCUAUAAAGUGCCCCCAUGUCAUUCAAAGCAUUGACAUGAUGCGGGGUUCGCCCCUGUUCUGGCUAGUUGUGUUCAAUCCUUUGUUCUACUUUAUAUGGCCUGGGCAGAACUUCCUCCCUAUGCUCUUCCUCUUUUUCGAAAUCUGGAUGAUUCCUUUAGUUUGCCCCCGGUCUGUUUUUGUCAUUGUUGGCAAAGGGUUUAACUCCUACUCUACCUCUCAUGCCACUUGCUAGUGGAGGGAAUGGAUUGGGGUCCAUCCUUCUAGGUCUGUAGGGCAACACAACUGGUUGCUCAGGCAGAAGUGCCAAGGCCUGAUCACGUGGGGCCACUAGUUGUGGAAUAGGUGGAGGUUCUGGCUAGUUCUGAGGGGGUCUGAACUGGUGCAGAGCCUUCUGGAUGAACUGAAUCCUCAUGUUCUUGGAUGGGAAGGGCUCCUCCCCUCUGUCCAGCUUGGAUUUCUCCAUGUCCUGGUAUUCCAGCUAUCUGUGUGAUGAGAGGCUUCUCUUCAUAUGGCCAUGCCAGUCCUGGUAGAGGUCCAAAAGGGAGAUCUAGCUGCUGGACCACCAUGUCUAGGUUUGGAAUUUUGGCAAUAGUAGCCUCACGGUCCUUCCUGAACUGCCUGUUGACUUGCCAUUACAUCAUGGUUGUCAUGUUGUUUAGAGUAUCUUGGCUCAUUUGUGCUGUGGCUUCUUGCCGAAACACAGCCUCCUGUAUCUAGUUUAACCUUCUGGAACCAGACAUGGAACGUCUACUCGUGGUACUGCCAUGGGCUGAUUACCUAGCAUCACUUUCUUUUGACUCAAGUCCUUUUCGGAGAGCUGCUUGAUCUCUUUUCAUGGCAUAGCGUGGAUUCUGGCUAGAACUUCCAAUAUUCAUAUACUAGAGGAUUUUUCUAGAAAUAUAUGUAUUGAGAAGUCCCACUGGGCGUGCCAAAUUGUUCAUCCGUUUUAGAUUUGUUCCUGUGAUGGUAGGGUAAAGUUCCUCAUUGACUUGAAAACCAUUGGUGGUCAAUAAGUCAACUUUCUUUUGUGUACAAAUGUGCCACUGCUAGCAAUAAAAACCCUAGCAGACUUCUUAAAAAUAGAAAACUUGUGCCCAAGUUAUUAACUUCUAAAUAAGCGAUUGUGAAUUUGGGCGAGGAAUAUCUCCCAAGUAAGUUCUUUUCUUUGCCUCAGAUUGGUGAGGACUUCACAAUUUUUCACAGUACAAAACUGGUAGUUCUAGCUAGAAUAAAUGAUAAGAAAGUGAACUGUUUUCAGGCAGAACUACCUUUUACAAAGCUUAAAAAGGAAGACCAACUCUAAAAAGACAAAAAGAGCUUUUGGACUUCAAUUUCUGCUUGGAUAAAUGCUUCUGAUCCGGGCUGGACUGGGUAUGUUUGUGCUGGACUGGACUAUCAACACCUUCAACUGUCAAGUUUUAGCUGUCAAUGAAUACCAAUGUUCGAGUGUGGCAAAGCUUCAAUCUAUUUCAAGCCGUGCAAGGCUUUUUGAACGGACAGAAUUGGAACCUCUUCAGUCUGGAAGGGGUAGAAGUGGCUGAAUUUGGUGAUUACUGAGCUGGAACUGCACUGUAGUACCUGUUCUGCUUGAUCAGGGCUCUCCAUAAAUUUGUUGAGGUUUUAAUAUUGGUAAAACCCGAAGCUUAUGUUGAACCAACUUUGUAACGAGAGAAAUCUUGCUUUGAAUGACUAUUUCUCUGAAACUAAACAGAAGUUAGAGAUUCUGGAAUAUAGCUGACUUGUUUCUUAUGGCUCAAUGAGCUUUUGGUUGCUUCAGUGUUUUGAAGGCUUUUGAGAUCAAGUGAUCAUUUUGAGUUUUUAUUUUUGAUUGAUUUUUUGGCUGUCCUUUUAUCUGUUCACCUCAUCUCAUAUUUAUAGAAUAUACUGGAGUGUGAUUUCUAAUCUUUUAAUAAUGGGCGGCAAAUCUUUUAAAAGAUCUUUUUUUCUUUUUUCAAUGUCAUAAGAGAAGGAAGCUACUAUUCUGACAGAGAAAGGUUGUCAACAAUCAUCUUUCAAUUUUUCUAUGUUCACUUUUUGUUCUUUGUAAAGAGAAAGAACACAAUCUACCAUGAUGGUCAGUGUGCUUUUCCUGUUGAACAACUCCCUCGUUCUCUACUUAUCUCUUGAAAACGUAGUCUGCUUAUCUCUUGGAAAGACCACCUGAUUUGGUGCAGAGCUUCUCUAUAUAUAUAUAUAUAUAAAGGGAUUUUGAUCUUCUUCUUUUGGCUGAAAAAAUAGAGAAGUCUUUCUGUAAGACCUGCCUUCAUUAAUUUUCUAUCAACUUCUCUGUAAUAGUUGAAAAUUUUGACUUUUCAAAGCCAGGUAUUCACGUGGGGUUGUUUAGAAAAGAUCUGUUGAUUUUGUCAAUCUUUUAGGGUAGAGAUUAAAUAGCGUAAAAAGGCUGGGCUAGUCUCUUUUUCUUAGUAGAUAAAAAGCCCAAAUAUUUUGUCUCACUGCCCUUUUCUGGAAAAUAAAUGGGCUGGGUGUGUUGGAAAUUGGCCCAAUCUUAAGAAAGACUCUGGUGGCUGCCCAAAAUUGACAUAGGCUUUUCUUGAUUUUGGGCUGGGCAUGCCAAAUUAGGCCCAAACAAUGCCCCUUAAGUCUGAAUUGUUUUUGGAAUAGUUUCAGACUUAAUGAUUUGGCCAUUAAUUUGUGCGCGCCAUUUCCUUCUGUUAGCCCACAUCUGCCACGUCUGCCUAUUAUGAUCAAGACUUCGUGGGAAAGUGGGCAGUUACUAGCUAGUUAUUAUCAGGUGGCGUCUUGUCUUCUUCUUCCCACGAUUUCGAGUCUUUCUAAGAAAUUUAAAAAGACCUCAGCUCCUGUUUACUCAAAACCUAACUUCUUCAGACCUUGAUUUUCCUCAGUUUUCUCAGAAUUUUUACCCUUUUCUGCGAUCAAACCCUGCUUCCUUUCAGUUUGAUUCCCCUAUCCUAGCUCAAAACCCGAAAAUGUCUUCUCCAAAAAAUCGUGCCCAGACUUCUUCUUAUUCUGUUCCUCCUACCUACAUUACUGGGGCCGGUGUUGAUAAGCAUGUGAUUGAAGUCCGGAGCAAGCUUCAUCCUUUUGCCCAGAACGUUCUGGACAAGAACGUGUUACAUUUGUUCGAGAACACUCUUGUUUUGGAGCCUCAUCGGUUUGGUUCUGUCCCGACUGAAAUGGCAGAAUUGUUUAAAGAAUAUACUGAAGCUCCUCUAUGCUUUCAGAGCUCUUUCGUAGAUUUCAGUUUUAUAUAUAAACUAUCGUGUUUCUCCCUAUAACAUGUCGUUUUUAAGAAUUGUUGUCAAUGUUUUAUUUCCUGCUACUAUAAGACGGCGAUUAUUUAUACAUAUGAGACGUGUAAAUUAGAAUGAGACGUCAGUCUUUGGGAUUUAAAUUAAGUUUUUACGAUUUAAUGUCAUUUUAGUUCAUAUAAGGACAUAAAUGUCCUAACCAAAAAUAUAUUUAUGUACAUUGUCAAUAAAUUAAAAUAAACCUAAACAUUGUUAAAAUAAAUUAGAUCACUUAUUAUUCUGUAAUUACUUGUUAACGAAUUCAGCCCAUUCCAACCUGACUUCGUCAAUAUGUUCUUAUACAUACUGAACUGGUUCCUUUUUCUUAUCAAACUGCAAAUAAAUAACAAAAACCAACGUGUUAUAAAGAUUACAACGACUGCUUUUAAAGAAAAAGUUGUGGUACUAAAAUAAAGAAUUUAUAUCUUAAGUUUUGCCUUUUACCUUCUUCUCAAAUGCUAGGCCUGGAUCAUGAAUUAUAUCUCUCAUGAAAUGCAUCACGUAAUAGCCACACUCUACAUUUGUUGGUUGUCGAGGAGUGCCAUGUAGAUUUUUCCAUAUGACUGAUUUACAUGAUGAUUAAUUGCCUGUGUGAGAGUUAUACAUUUUGAUUGAACUGUUUCAAGAAAAUGAAAAGUGUUAAUGAUAAAAAUAAAAAUCUAAAGCAAAAAUAUUAAACGUCGUGGUAAAUAAGUGAAGACGAUGGUUUUGUUAAAAAAGUGAUGUUGUAUUUCAUUUCAAACGUUGGUAAAUAAAAACCGUCGUUGUGUAGAAUUCUAACGUCGGUGACGAUGAAAAAUGACGUAUAACCAAAAAUUGUUUGUAAAUGAAAGUUGAACAGAAAAAAAUAAAACUUCCUUAAAUGAAAAACACAAACGACGUGGUAUUUCAAUUAAAAUGACGGUUUACAGAAAAUACUGACGUUGUAAAUGAUUUCAAACAUCGGUUUGAAGUUACCAUCGUGUUUUCAUUGUAACGUCGGUAUUAGAAAAAGCCGUAUAUCAUUCAAAUGCAAAUAAAAAAAUGUUAGAUUUUCAUAGAUAAACUUACAUAUUCACUAUAUUUCUCAUGUCCUCGUCAACAACGCGGUUUGGCAAUGAAUCCAUGUAAUAGAUAGUCUCCUUCGCUGGUCUCACAAUUAUUAACACCCAAUGACCCCUACACAUAAUGAUCCAUAUAGGUUAAAUAUACUAGAAAGAAAAAUAGGCAUCAAGUAUAGUUAAGGGGACUAACCUUGGAUUACAAGGCACCAUGUAAAAUUGAUCCCCAUUUGCGUUUUUCAGGCGGUCUGAGAGAUGUUUCAAACGGUAAGAUAACGUUCCAGAUUGAGAGCUGACUUGUCCAAGGUCCACGAAGCCAAUAAGGUUUACCAUAUUUUCUAUUUUUAAAUAGUCAAAUAGGCACCUAAAUAUAUGAAAUUCAAUUAAAUGAGAUUUUAACUUUAAAGAAAGGAAAUGUAUAAUGCAAUCACUGUGGAUCCAAUCUCAACCAUGGAAGGAAAUUGUAAAAUAUCUUCACACAAGAGGAAGGUAUCAUGGUUAAUGCCAAAGGCUUCCUCUGGAAUGUGAAUUCUAAUGGUCUCGUUAAUGGGCUUCAACUUGGUCUCGACAAAUUGAAAUAAGGCUAACAGAGGAGGUGGCAUGUCUAGCUUUGAGAGAUCCUGUUACAACAAAUAAAUAAAGAAAUAUAAGUUAGUUUGUACACUAAGUAAAAUAAACGACUCUAACUAAACCAAUCAAACCGACGUGGUAUAUAAUAUAAUCGACAGUUUCUAGAACAUACUGAAGGAGUAAAGGUUAUAGACGACGGUAAAGACAUAACCAUCGUUAUGUAAAUGUUCUAACGUCGCUGCAUUAUGGAAAGGUCGUCUAAUUAAAAUGCAGUGAAGCCUUUAUUGAAAUACACGACAGUUUAUAAAAUAAACACCGACGUAGUAAAAUACUGAGACGACGGUUAUCAGCAACGUCUAUUUGAAAUUAUAAAUCAGAAAAAAUCAAAUAUCAAAGAUUUUACCGUUUCAUCUUGCCAUUGUUUAGCAACAUCAGCAUCAUUCGUGGGAUUUUCUUCCUCCAAAACAAGGGGUCUCACAUUAGAGCAGCUUGCUUUGUCAGACAUUAGAUUUUUUGGAGUAAUUGGAGUUUUAUUGAGCAAGUUGGGAUCACAGUUGGGAAUUAGUUGACUGAAUUGUUUCAAUAAAAUUUCCCUCUCUGCUCUGACUGCCUCCAAAACAGUUUCUUUUGCCUUAGCUUUAAUCUUUUUGGUUUCUUCUCUCACUGCCUCCAUAACACUUUCCUUCAAUUUGUUAGCAAAUUUUACUCUCUGCUGUCUCGACAAAUUGAAGAAUUGAGUUGGGGAAACCCCAGCUCCAACACCUCUAACUCUCCCACCAUGCUCAGGGGUUCCCAAAGCCAAGGUCAAAAUAUCGUUGCUCUCAGAGACAGCAGAGUGCCCUCGGAAACUUGUUUUUUCAAAUCAUCCUAAAAGUGAGAGAGAGAGAGAGAGAAUGUUAGUGAGUGAACAGAUAGUAAAACAGAUUAAAUAAACAACUAUACAAAAAUAUUAACCGACGUGGUAAAGACUUUAAAAAACUGAAAUCAAUCCCCAAUAGUAACAGGGACCAUGCAGCAACGAUUUGGUUGACAGUAGUAUAGGUUGGAGAUGCUGUUGAUCAUUAGAUACUAUUUUUUUAAAUAUCAAUUCUGUAACAUCCAGACCUAAAAAAUUAAUGAUUUUGAUUUAAAAUUAAAUUUAAAUAAGCAAUUACGAAUUUACCCUUGGGGAAGGGGUAUUUUGGUAUUUUUUUUUUAUUCAGAAAGAGUUUGGGGCAGUGACUAGUAUUUUUGGGUAGAUCGUACUGAGACGAAUCCGUAGACACGCGGUAGGCCUGAAUCGGAGUUGUAACGAAGAAACGGUGACCAAAAUUAGUCCAGUGGCAAACUUGUAAAUAUUUUGAACUUGGGUGUAGAAAAAUCUGAAACUGGCUUCCUCUCUCCUGCGUGCACACGUCCUUCUCUCUCUCUCCUCUCUCUCUCCUCGAUACCAUCACUCUCUGUCUCUCUCUUCGAUUCUCUCAAUUCUGGCCACGGCAAGGGCCGGGACUGGUUCCGAUCAACUCCUCACAAAGCCCCGAACCAGAACCACCACUUUUCUUGGCCGGAAAGCUCGAGUUUCGCGUGGUAAUCUCGACUGGUUUGAACCAGUUUUCCUCCGUCAUUGUGCCGCCGCCAUCGCAGCCCAAUCUCGGUUAAACAAGUGAGGUUUCUUACUCUUUUUCCGAGCUCUAGCUGCCUGUUGGGUAGGAUUGGAUUGAUUUUUUGUCUAGGAUCCCGAUUUUGAAACCUAAGUUUUGACGAAUUUCAAAGUGAAAUUCCGGCCGGUUGCCGUCCUAAUUAGACCUCCCCGUAGUUGAAUAAAGUGAUCCUCGCUUCGAGUAGUAGCUAAGGUAGGAAUGGUGAAUUGCGGUGUGGAGUUUUUCCAUCACUGAAAAUUACUCUACACAUCCACGCGUUGCCAGGGCAUGUGGAGGCGCAUGGGCAAUGUGGUGAGACCACAUUUUAUCCUGAUGUAGUCUCCUAGUCCUCACGUGCGCGUAAGUGUGCUCGAAUUUCAAUUCGAAUGUUGUUUGACUAUCGAACGGAUUUAUGCAUAUUGUUUCUUAUCCGGGUUCAAUAUGUUCGGACCAUUGGAUCGAGUCCAAAUUUACGUAUGUUAAUCUAGGCACCCCUAGGAUCAUGUGCGAAUUCGCGGAUCGUGAAUCGGAGCCCCGAAUGUUCCGAUUCAAUAAUUUGAAGUUUAUGGUUUGCGAUAACCGUCAAUUUCUGACCAAACCUACAGGACGUGUUUCCUAAACCCGUAGUCGGACCUUAGAAUACUCGUUAUGCGUGCACGCACCGGGAACUUGAGAAAAUUAGUAUUUAAUUUGUAAAUUCCGUUUUGAAGUGAUUUUUUAUUAAUUAAGGGUGCGUAUCUCGAAAUAGGUGCUCCAUCACUAGCACGCAGCAGGUAGGACCCUCUUGAGGUCAGGCAGUGUGGGACUACUUGUGAGUGGACAUUUAUUUUAUAUAUGCAUUAUUUUCAAUGAUUGAAAGAAUAUGCAUGAAAUAUAUAUAUUUUUUGGAAUAAAGAUUGAGAAAUUCAUAUGUUGUUAUAUCAGUAUUAUUUAAUUUAGAAUUUGGUUUGAUUUGAUGAUGAGUUAUAUAAAGGUCAAGUUAUUCGUGAUUAAGUCUUGGAUGAAUUUUGGGGGAAUCGGGAAUUGAAUAUUAUGGUUUAUGGUGGGAACUUAUAUGAUUACACUGUGUGGAGUACCAUCCCCUAGUUACUAGGCUUCCCACAUGUGGCGUUGGAAAUUUUCCAGCGUGUGAUGAUGUAGUCUGCACGCAUAGGACUUAGUAUUGGAGCUACACGUGGCGUUGGAAUUUCCGGCAUGUAAGCUAUGGAGUUUCGUCCCCCGGUUGGACCGCUCAUCCCUAGACGCAGGAUAGCAACUGAAAAUCUUGCGGGUUAGCCAAACAAUCCCCCGGUUGGAUUGUUUCCCCGGUACCUAAGUAGUGUGAUAAAUAUUAUGUAUAUUUAUAGAUAUAUAUAUUUCUAUGUGUGUGUGUGUGUGUGUGUGUGUGUGUGUGUGAGUAUAAAUCAGUUAAAGUAUAUGUAGUGGUUGGGUAAGAGCAGUAUAAAUUUUGGGGAUAAAGUUUAUGGAUAGAGUGAUUGAUCUCAAAGGGUUUCGGAGAAUGAUGUUUUUGAUCAUUAAAUAAAAGUUAUGAAUCUGCAUGUCUUGAGCAUUAUUUUUAGACGGUGGGGUUAUUAUGUUGUUUUGAAUGCAAAUUUUGUUUUUCCACUCACAUGUUUUCUGUUUUGCGCCCCCCAAACAGUAGUCGCUCAAGGGAGAGUUGCAAGCCAUGUUCGAGGCCCCGAACUGUGAACAUCAGUAGAUUAGGUUUCGAGUAAUUUCUUUCUACUCAACUGGAUGUUCUUGUAAACUAAAUUCGUUAGAUGCUCUAUUAUUGCCCCUGUUAGGUUUUACUUGUGAGGCCAGAGGCCAUUUAGUUUAUACUGUUGAAUAAUAAAUGCAUGCUGCUGGUUGGGAUUAUAUUGUGCUUAUGCAGGUUGAAAUUUUUGGGAUUGUUCAAUUUACAUGGGAGACUCUAGCAAAAUUUUAGUAGAGAGUCUCGGUUUUUAAUAAGUGGGCCAGGCAUCGGGGUAAUGUCGGAAAUAAGACUGGAUUCGUCCCGGUUUCCGAAGAAUUCGAGGCGGGUCCUGUCAAGUUCCUCCUAUUAACAAUAAUAAAUUAAAUAUUUAUAUAACUGAUAACAGUUCCUCAUAUUAACAAUAAUAAAUUAGUAUUUUGUAUAAUAAACAUGUUUAAUGAAAUUCAUCUUCUUCUAGCAUGUUUAUUUAAAUUCUAAGUUUUCUGAAGAAAAAAAAAAAAAAAAAGGAGAAGGAAAUGUCCUAAAUUAAAUCUUAAAAGUUCAUUUUUUUCUGUCCCUAUAUAUUUUUUACCCAAUUAUAAUUUGAGAAAAAAAGGUGAAUUAACUGUCAUUUCACCUUCAUCAUUUUCAUGAUUUAUAUAAGAUUCUUCAAAGAUCAUUUCCACAAAAAAUUACUUAAAUUCGAAUCCAUUUAACCGUCUAAUUAAAUCGUUAGGACCGUUGAAAUAAAAUUUAAAGUGAGUUUAAAGUGAGUCCUACUAUGUCUCCCUCAAAUAAGAUCAUUUACAGGAUCUGUCGAGUCAUAUGAGAAUGUUUAGCUUUUCGAUCCCAAGAGUUUGGUUCGAUUUUCAUAUAUAUAUAUAUAUAUAUAUAUAUAUAUACAAGUCAAUUUACUUUAAAAAGUUCACCAAAUUUUAUUUUUGGUCUCGGUAGUUUGCUUGAGGGCCUUUUUCUGUCAAUCUAUUUGUUGUGAUUGAAAGAUUUUAUAUAAAACAAAAGAUAUGUUUUUAUCUUAAAAAAUGCUUAUUUUCAGAUCUUUACAUAUAGACAUACAUAUGGCCUGAGAAUUCAAGCAAUAAAGACAUAAGCUGAUGAGCAUUCAUAAUCAUUAGAAUGAGUACUGAAUGGUCAACUCUUUCAAAAUACUUCGGAAAAAAACAAAGGACAAUACUUCCUUCCUUACUCAUAAGAAGGAACUCCUUCUCACCUUCUAUUGUCCCUCAACCACAAAGUAACAAGUGUUCUCUUUUUUUAAUUGUCAAUUUUUUUUUUUUCACUUUUACUGAACCCCUAGCUUUUUACCAAAGCAAAAAACACAAAACAAUAUUCCCAUUGUUUUUUUUUUUCAUUUUGAUUUUUUUCUCAACUUUUUGAAAAAUAACAUUUUUCCUUCUUCAGUAAAAAAUUGAAGUCUUUGUGGUUAAAAGCUAAGGUUUCAGUAAAGGUUUAAAAUAAAUAAAAAGUUUUGACAAUUCAAAAAACAGAACACAUAUCACUUUGUGGUUGAGCCGCAAUAGAAAGUAAGAAAGAAUUCCACCUUACCCAUAAGGAGGGAAGUAUUGUCAAAAAGAAAACAUCUUAAAAAACACACAGAAAACCCACCAUCACUACUUAAAAGAAGUAGAGAAGUCCAACAUUCUGAUUUUUAUACACCUACGUGACGUGAGCAUUCAAUAAUCAUCCUACACAUAUGUUGAUGUGAGCAUUCAAAAUCAUUAGAAUGAUUUAAUUGAAGACUCAACGUACGGACGUCUUUUUCACUUAGAUUCCCUUCCUGUACAAACUUGAAUCAGUUCCUCCACGACCCCAUCAAUCUCUUCAUCCUCUUUCUUGUUCACGUUGUCGCUUAUUUUCAAUGCCUUUUUUCUCACUCCCUCUCCAAAUUUCUCCACAACCACAUCUCUAAUCACCUUUGCGACCUCUUCUCUUUGCAAACUUCCUUCACCUGUUCUCUUAACCUCCACACCAACACCCACCUCCUCCACUAGUCUAGCGUUGAUCGGCUGGUCAAGAUGCAUAGGCAUGGCUAUAAUUGGAACACCAAACUUGAUGCUCUCCAACACUGAGUUCCAUCCGCAGUGACUCACAAACCCCCCAACACUAGAAUGCUGCAGUAUCUUUGCCUGUGGGGCCCAACCCUCCAUUAUCACUCCCUUCUCUCCCACCCUCUGUAAAAACCCUUCUGGUAACACCUCUUCAACCCUAGUACUUCUCUCCUCCUUAGAAAAUCUUAUAACCCAAAUGAAGCUCACUUUGCUAAGCUCUAAUCCGUGAGCUAUCUCUUCUAUUUGCUCCUUGGACAGAAAGUACUCACUGCCAAAGCAAACAUACACAACAGAAGACCUUUCCAUUUUGUUCAGCCAUUUCAUGAUCCAUGUUUCCUCAUCAACUUUUUGAUCCAUUGGCUCUUGAACAAGCGUGCCAACAGGCACGAUCUUCUUCCCCGUUAAAUCAGAGAGAUAAUCAAUAUAUUUUUCUUCAAUCUCGCUGGAUGUCUUGACCAAAAUGAUGUUACAAGAUCGAGCACUGCAUUGCUGAACACGGUCUCCGUCUUUGAUGCCAUUUGCUGAAGAUUCCAACAAAUUGUUGAACUUUUCAGCUUCGUAAUGUUGAAGAUAAAUCGAAGGAAAAGGAAACUUGACACUAGGGUUCUUGAGAUGUUGAAUACUAAAUGAAGUAAAGGCAGCACCCAUGGUGGUGAAUUCAAUGGAUGGAAAAUUUUGCAAUGAAGCUAGAGAGGGCGCCCAUGGUUGAAGAACAUCAUAUAUGAGCAAAUCUGGACUUAGGGUUUUGAGGAUGUUGGAGAAGUUGUUGCUGGACAUGCUGAAAGCCGUUUUGAGAGUGGACAUGAGAUGGGGAGGGAGGCCAUUGGUGGUGUGGUAGUGCGGUGGGAGUUCAGGCAAGUCAUCAUGUGGAAGAUGGAGUUCCACAAAUUCAAUGCAAUGAGAAUAUUUUUGGGAGAGUUUAGGCUUGAUGGAGCUGAGAUUUACAGGCGUGGAACAAAUAAAGAUGUGAAAAUUUCUCUUGGUGGUCAGCUUCUUGGCUAGCUCUAGGUAGGGAGAUAUAUGGCCGUGAGCUAGCCAUGGAAGCAAAAGAAUAGUAAGGCUUCUUUGGUCAGAGAAAACCAUAUUUUGUUUUCCUUUGACUUGUUUUCCUUUGACUCUUUUGCUUGAGGUUGCUCGAUUAUAGGCUUAUUGGUAGUUUGUUUGUGGCUAGCUCUAUGCAUAUAUAUAUAUAUAUAUAUAUAUAUAUAUAUAUAUAUAUACACACACAAAAACGCGUGAUGAUUGGAACAUGCACACGUAAGUUCCAGAGAGUGAUGAUUGGCCUAUGAUAAAGACUCGAAACAAGAAUAGUUUAAAUUUUCUUCUUUGUUUGGCUUGAUAUAAGACGAAUGCACCAAACAAACCGACUAAAUGCCGACACAAUAAUUAGGUACGUAAUAAUAUCAACUUUCAUUAUAUAGAUCUGAGAAACAAAAAGUUGAACUUUGAUGACAAGCGAUAUUAAGGAAGGGCACAAUCGAACUUAGGAUCUCGAAUGUUGAAGUACAUGCUCUUAACAACUUGAGCUAUAAGGUAUUUGUAAUGACAAUUUAUGGUUUUAAUUAUACUUUUGAAUAGUUGCUUCCUUCUCUUUCAUUUUUAUUUUUAUUUGUUUAUAUUUAACUCUAAUUUUAUUUAUAUUUCUGGUCAAGGUAUAAAGACUUUGAAUCUCUCUCCAAUUAUUUUUCACAGCCGAAACUCCUUUAGUUUCCACAAAUCUUUUUAAACAUUUCAGGCAUAUGUAUGUUUCCGAGUCGGAUGGUUCACGUAACCAAGAAAUUUAAACUUGUUUUUGUUUGUUCCUCCGAAGAAAGCACAACAAAAGGACAACCUACAACCAAUACUUCUCAUUGAAUUUGUUGCCGUGAAUGAUUAGGACUCUGCCCAAACUAGUAGUUGCGUUUCUGAAUUGUUUGAAAACACAUAUCAAAUUAUGAUUUCUCCUCCCCGAAAGAAAAAUUGACGUAGAAGUAUCAUGAUCUUGAUGACACAAAUUAGAAUCUAGGGUUUUCGAAGUGCCUAAUGGACAACUACUUAUUUAGAAAUAUAUAUAUUUUUGUGGCUAAAAUUUAAAUUUAUUAUAUAUAUUCUCAAUGCAGAAACACAUAAAUCUAAGUUCGAAUUCAUCCUUUUUUUGUUUUUUUUUUUUUGUUUUUUUAACCCAGAAGAAAAAUUGAGUCCCACUCUGCUGUGUAGAAUGCGCGUUUAGUAUAGAUUUUUUUAUUUUUGAGUCUCUUAUCUGGUUCCCGAGCUUCUACAUUUAGGUCUCGUGUAUUUAUCUGCAUUUUCUUAAAUCUAAAUCACUCAAACAAUCUAACCACUUAACAAAUGACACGUACUCAAACUUAAAAUCAGAAUGGAUGGAGUAGAGGCUUACACCGAUGAUUCUUGGUCAAGACUUGAGAGACAGAUGGAGACGAGGCAUGACAUAAAGUCUGAAGAAGAGAAACGAGGAAGCUUCAUUUAGAUGGUGGUGUAAGUGCAUACGUAAAGUCCAGAUUCAACAGGAAAGCAUCUUAAACGUAAAGAAAAUAAGUUUACCAGAAGCAAAAGAGAUACUGAAGUAAUUGUUUAUCAACUGAACUUAAACGAAAUAUUAACUCUUUGUUGUGCCAUAAGCACAAGAUCUUAUGAAAAAAAAUUCAAGAUAAACCAUAUAAUAUUGGGAGAUUCACGUUUAUACCGAAUAUAGGAAUUCAAAUUAUAAAAUAAAUAAAUAAAUAAAAUAAUCGAUAUGAAAUGGACUUUAGAAACACACACAAAGCCUAUUUACAACAUAACAAAAAGGUUUUUCCCUUCUUUUAAAUUACAAAACUGCCAUUGAUUUCUUAAAACAAACCCAACUCCAAAACCUCAUUAAAAAAGCACAAAACACUCAAUAGGGUGUCAAAGUAAUUUAAUAAUAAAAAAUAAAUUCAAUAAGGCCAAUUGAAUUUUUUGGAUUUUUUUUUGGGUUUGUUUAUAGAAAUUAAUGGUGUAGGGUUUAUCUAUAUUAUUGGUGUUAAGAAUGAAUAAUGACUAAAUAUCUCUAUAAUAUUUUCUAACUCACAAAAUAAUAUAGAAAAUAAAUGCAAGAACAAGAAAAUAGCAAUAUGCAAUUUAACGAAGCUGCUUACAAUCAGUGCAAAUGAGCAAACAAAUUCGCUAUUAAUUUAUGAAGUGUUUUUGUAUUUACAAUACCGCCUCUUGAAUGUCCACCAUACAAUAAUAUAGUUGCAUCAUUAAAAACUUUACUUGAAAAAUCGUUUGGGACAAAACUUAAGCUAAGAGAAAAAGAGUGCAACACAAAUGAUAUUGACAUCACAUAUGUCUCUCCUACAGAGUGAGCUUUGGUGAUGCUUGUAUAAAAAUUGCUUUCACAUCAUUAUUGGGAGAUGUAUGUAUGUCAUCAAUCAUUUGAAUCUUGUUGAGGUUAAAGUAAAACCAAAAAAAUAUCAAGGGCCAUUUUCAUAUAGUUUUUCACAAUAAAAAUUAACAAAAUAACUUCAUGUUCUUUAAUAUCAUCAAAAAAAUAAUAUAAACAAACUCAUAGUUUACCUUUUCAAUGAUAAGUGUUUGGAAAAUUUACAUGGAAUAAUAUUUGGUAUGCUAUGCUAGCAUCUCAUAAGCUCUUCAAGAGACCUAAAUUUUAUGAUAACUUCUUAAAAAAAUUUGAAUACUUUUCAACAAUAUUAAACUUGAAUUCAAACUCAUAAUUCAAUCAAAGUACUCAUUGAGGCAAUUUAGAUCAUUUUCAUUUUAAGAAAAUUGGGUGCAUACAUUGAGCUUCAUGCCCUUUACCUUCUUAGAGAUUUUCUUCGAGCAAUUUAUAUUGCAUGACAGAUUAUAUCUCUUAGAAUUUGUUCUUAUGUAUUCUUCAAGAGAUCUCUUCUUGCAAUAUGCUUCAAACACUUCAUAAUCUUUAUAGAUUUUUCAUGUAGAUUUAAGGUCUCCAUGAAUAUUGAGAUUGAAACAAGGAGUAAAAUAAAAGUUUAAGAAAAAUUUUCCCUGAUUAUUUUGUAAUUAUAAUGUUGGUGAAAACCUAAUUUCCUUUCUGAAAUUUGUGAAAUUUGUUAUUUGGCUAAGCUAAAAGUAUAAUAUUGACAAUAAAACGUAUACGAAAGUUUCUCUUUGGCUGGCUUCUUGGCUGGCUCUAGGAAGGGACAUUGCGGCCAUGAGAUAACCAUAGGAAGCAUAAUAAGAAUGCUUGGAUGCUCUGAACAAUCCAUUUUCUGACUCUUUUUCUUGAGGCGGUUGUUUUCUUAGGCCCAUCAGAGUUUAUGGUCGACAGAUAAGCUUCAAACACAUGCAUUGGUCGUGUCAGUUGCGAUAAACUCUUCCCAACAAUCUGAGACUCACAUCACUCCAAACACAUAAAAAGAAGUGGAAAUUUGCUAUUCUUUGUCUUUGUUUGGACAGCUAAUAGCAAAGCAUUGGAAACAUCGAAAAAAGAAAGUUAAUUAAUUUAAGAAAAACAAAGAAAUCCUUCUUUUUUUUUCUUUUUUUUUUCAGCAAACCGAAACAUAAAAUCCGAAAAAGAAGAAGGCAUGUCCAAAAUUACAUCUUGAAUUUAUUUUGGAGAUUCACUAUUAUACUCAAAUUAUAUAUGAAAUAAAUUUUAGAAACACACAUGACGCCAAUUUACAAUAUAACAAAAAAACUUUUAACUUCUUGUAAAUUACAAAAUUGUUAUCGAUUUCUUAAAACAAGCCUAAUCCUAAAACCUCAUAAAAAAAAAAUCAAAACACUCAAUAAGGCAUCAAAGUAAUUUAAUAAUUAAAAUUAAAUUUAAUAGGGUCAUCUGUCAUUUUUUGGAUUUUUUUCGAAGUUGUUUAUAAAAAUUAAAAUAAUGUAUAGUUUGUUUAUAAAAAUUAAAUGAUGUAGAGUUUCUUUAUAUAAUUAAUGUUAAUAAUGAGUAUAUGAAUAAAUGUCACUUUUCUUUAUUAACCAUUUAUAAUAUAUGAACUCAAGACUUCCUAUCGAACACCGAAUGGUCUUUCCAUUCCUUGUUAAUUCAAAGUCUGAAAAUGUUCGGUGUCAGCUCAUGAAUUUAAAGGCUUAAAGGCUCAAAACUUGAACGAAUAUGAAAGAAAAAAGUCGUUCACCGUUCAUCCUCUUCCUGCAGCUGUGCAUGCUAAUCACCCACUGAAUUAAACAUACAAAUACGCUUUAUGUUUUCUCAAAUUGUUCUUUGAACUAAGUAGAGGUUGGAAUACACUCGGGGUCAACAUUGUUCAAAUACAAAACACUUCUUAAUUUUAUAUUUUAUCAAAACAGAUCGAAACUUCAUUCAAACUGAGAACCUAGAUUACAAAACUACCAGAAAAACUGGAAUCUGCACUGUGGCCUCAUUAAAACCUUGCUUUAAAAAACUCCUAAAAGAGGAGAAUUCAGUCAAGAAAAAAGAGUACCACAGCAAGUGAAAUCCGAUAUCAUACUUCAUUCCUUUCUCAUACAAAGUUGAAUCAACUGCUCUACCACCCCAUCUAUCUCUUCAUCCUCUCUCUUUUUCAUGUUGUCUCUCAAUUCCAUUGCCUUUCUUUUCAAACCCUGUCCAUUUUCUUCCACCACCACAUCUCUGAUUACUUUUGCUAUCUCGUCCCUUUUCAGCCUCCCGUUCUCGUUGCCGCCUCCUCCCAUUCUCUUAACCUCCACACCAACUCCAACGUCCUCUACUAUUCUAGCGUUAAUAGGCUGGUCAAGAUGCAUAGGCAUGGCUACAAUUGGAACGCCAAACUUGAUGCUCUCCAACACUGAGCUCCAUCCACAGUGGCUCACAAACCCACCAGCACUAGAAUGCUUCAAUACUUUUGCCUGUGGAGCCCAACCAUCCACUAUUAUUCCCUUCUCCCCCACCCUCUCAAAAAACCCUUCUGGUAAUACCUCUUCAACCCUAGUACCUUUCUCUUCCUUAGGAAAUCUUAUAACCCAAAUAAAACUCACUUUGCUAAUCUCUAGCCCAUGAGCUAUCUCUUCUAUUUCCUCCUUGGAUAAAAAGUACUCACUGCCGAAGGAAACAUACACCACCGAAGAUCUUUCUCUAGUGUUUAGCCACUUCAUGAUUUUUGUUUCCUCCGAAUCCACUUCUUGCUCUAUAAGGUCUUGAACAAGUGAACCAACAGGCACAAUCUUCUUCCCAAUUAGAUCAGAGAGAUAAUCAAUAUAUUUUGCUUCAAUCUCUCUAGAACUCUUAACUAAUACGAUCUUACAAGAACGAUCGCUGCACUGCUUAGCACGGUCUCCAUCACUGAUGCCAUUUGAUGAAGAUUCUAACAACAUCUUGAUCUUACUAGUCUCGUAAUAGAUUGAAGGAAACGGAAAUUUGACACCAGGUUUCUCGCCAUGGUGGGUACAAACUGACAUCAUGGCAGCACUGGUUGUGAAGAACUCGAUGGCUGGAAUGUUUUGUAACAAAGCUAGAGAGGGUGCCCAUGGUUGAAGAAAAUCAUAAAUUAGCAAAUCCGGGUGUAGGGUUUUGAGGAUGUUGGAGAAGUUAGGGCUUGCCCUGUCGAAGGCGGUUUUGAGAGUGGACAUGAGGUGGGGUGGGAGGCCAUUGGUAGUGUGGUAAUGAGGUGGGAGUUCAGGCAAGUCGUCAUAUGGAAGAUGUAGUUGCACGAGUUCAAUGCAACGAGAGUAUUUUUCAGAGAGUUGUGGCUUGAUGGAUCUGAGAUUUACAGGUGUGGAACAAAAAUAGAUGUGAAAAUUUCUGUUGGUCAGCUUCUUUGCUAGCUCUAGGUAGGGAGAUAUGU